UAUUCUGCCCCACGGGGAAGGAUGAGAAGCUUCGACCAAGGUUCGACUAGAGCGAAGCGAGAGAACGUUGCCGCAGGCAAUGGCCCGAAGGCGAGGCGCUUUAGCGCCGAGUAAUCCUUCCCCCACCACUG
rnacentral:sRNA from 1 species